UACGAAGGGGGCGAGCGUUGUUCGGAAUCACUGGGCGUAAAGGGCGCGUAGGCGGCCCUCCUUGUCGCGUGUGAAAGCCCCGGGCUCAACCUGGGAACGGCGCGCGAGACGGGGGGGCUGGAGUUCGGGAGAGGAGCGUGGAAUUCCCAAUGUAGAGGUGAAAUUCGUUAGAUAUUGGGAAGAACACCGGUGGCGAAGGCGGCGCUCUGGACCGAGACUGACGCUGAGGCGCGAAAGCGUGGGGAGCAAACGGG
rnacentral:rRNA from 1 species